CAUAGGAGUGGGCUGCAAAUGAUCUGCUCCUCGCCAAGUUCAGGGGAAAACGCUGAUGUGAUUGUUGUAUGGGGCUCUAUUUGCUGUGACGACUGAAGGAUGAAACAUUACCCAGCGCCACGCCUGCUUCAUGACAUAACCGAGCUCAAAAACGCACUAUUGUCAGAUGCCCCAUUGUGCUUUAAGCCUCGUAUGUUUUUGAUUAGAAUUUUUUUCACUUUUAUCAGCUUCGGCUAUAGCUUUAAACCUUGGCAGUGAACACAAAACGCUGAUCAUCAAAAGCCAUAGUUUUUCACACACAAGAAACAGCUAACACCAGCUGUUAUUGCGAUGUAAUUAACAAAGCUUUCUGUAAUUGAAAACAUAUUCAUUGAUUCAAUGACAAAGCUACCCUGUCUAUGUUAUGAUACUACAUGUACUACAUUUGAUAUAUUGAAAGCGACUAUUCCAUUCAAAAUGAGCAGUGACGUGAACUACGUGUAAUCUGAGGUUCAUUUAAAAACCUUACUUCUGACCUGUACGUGUUCUCUUGCCCUUCCAUAUGAUCCAGUUGAAAGUCACGUCACAUUUUAUUUCAAGACUCUUAAUUUUGGUGAUUUCCUUAAAUUCAUUGCUGUGUGCUAAAGGAUGAAUAAACGCGCAUGGUGUGCACUGUUGAGUCCUGUUUUUCUUUGUGUCGAUAACAACAGAUACGGCCACAGAGCGAGGACAAAGUACCUGUUCCGAGGUACGCUGGGAGGGGGGCACUAGCAAGCAGGUUGUAGACCUCUGGAAUUGAUACGAGGCCACCUUGCGUCUUUUCAUCAAACAGCAAUGAGUGUAGUUCAGCCAAAUCAUGCUUAUACAUCAUAGCAGACUAGUCUUUGGCAUUUCACAAGCCGUAUAGCAAUCUAAAAUUUGACAAACCUAUAGUAUUUUUAGACUUCAAACAGGACUUCUCAAGUCCAAGCCUUAAUCUAGCAACAACACGUUUUGGCAACAGCCUUGGGCGGAGCCUAUAGUAUGGUCUAGUAUUGCAAUUCAGUUGAAAAUACUCUAGAAUUACGCAAAUGCAUCCCCAAUCAUCAACUUCUGCAUAUUGCUUUUAAACACUCUGACAUUUAAGCUGGAUUUCAACUUUUUCUUAAUGCACGUUAUACCUUCAUAAGUUGGAAUGUCAUCAGUUCAUUAUAAUAUAAUCAUGUAACAACUUUGAAAACGCCCAGGGUUUUCUUUUCCGACUAAAAUGGAUCAGUCACUUUCAGGCUGCAGAAGC